CAGCAGCCGCGGGAACACAGAGGGUGCGAGCGUUAAUCGGAUUUACUGGGCGUAAAGCGUGCGUAGGCGGCUUCUUAAGUCGGAUGUGAAAUCCCUGAGCUUAACUUAGGAAUUGCAUUCGAUACUGGGAAGCUAGAGUAUGGGAGAGGAUGGUAGAAUUCCAGGUGUAGCGGUGAAAUGCGUAGAGAUCUGGAGGAAUACCGAUGGCGAAGGCAGCCAUCUGGCCUAAUACUGACGCUGAGGUACGAAAGCAUGGGGAGCAAACAGGAUUAGAGACCCCUGUAGUCCCUGUCUCUUAUAC
rnacentral:rRNA from 1 species